AUCUUUAGAAAAGCUUCAUUGACAAGGAAAAGUAUGUCUUAAAAAUUAGAACCUAAACCGCGCAUUAAACGAGGCGAGCGCUCAACACAUUUUGAGUCUUUAUUCAGGGCUUAUGUGCGCCUUUGACAAUAUUGGUGCACCCCCAAACUUUAAAUCUUUGGUUCGCCUCUGCCACUUUCGCCGGUGUUCACUAUAGGUGGCACAACAUUCAAAGUCAAUUUUGAGGAAAUCUGGCAUGAAAAUUUAGGAUUUGUUGUAUGGUUUGAUUCGUCUAGUUAUGGCGUUUGAUAUGGCAUUGAUCUUGAUCGGAGGAAGUGGUCAGAGCUCCUACACUCAAUAGUAAAUUGUCGCCAGUACCACCGUCCAAAUUGACUACAACUUCUUGGGGAGAUAUACAAUGACGAGGACUACAAACCCCAGAGAGGAUGCACAACCUUGAUUCUAGUCUGAAAGCAAUCGAACUUGACCGCAACUUUCAGGAGAUUCAUCAAAAAAGAGAAAGAGAAAGAGAAAGAGGGAAGGGAGAGAGGGAGAGAUA
rnacentral:lncRNA from 1 species